rnacentral:snRNA from 1 species
GGAAGACGGAGGUCCAAA